AGAGUUUGAUCCUGGCUCAGAUUGAACGCUGGCGGCAUGCUUUACACAUGCAAGUCGAACGGCAGCACGGGCUUCGGCCUGGUGGCGAGUGGCGAACGGGUGAGUAAUGCGUCGGAACGCGCCGAGUAGUGGGGGAUAACGCAGCGAAAGCUGUGCUAAUACCGCAUACGUACUGAGGUAGAAAGUGGGGGACCUUCGGGCCUCACGCUAUUCGAGCGGCCGACGUCUGAUUAGCUAGUUGGUGGGGUAAAGGCUCACCAAGGCGACGAUCAGUAGCGGGUCUGAGAGGAUGAUCCGCCACACUGGGACUGAGACACGGCCCAGACUCCUACGGGAGGCAGCAGUGGGGAAUUUUGGACAAUGGGCGCAAGCCUGAUCAAGCCAUGCCGCGUGUCUGAAGAAGGCCUUCGGGUUGUAAAGGACUUUUGUCCGGGAGCAAAGCCUACUUGUU
rnacentral:rRNA from 1 species